CUUAGAAACACAAACACACAAAUACAAAUAAACAUAGACAUAGACACAGAUAUAGACACAGGCACACACAUAUAGACUAAGUCACAGACUUAGAAACACAGACACACAAAUACACGUAAACAUAGACAUAGACACAGAUAUAGACACAGACAUACGCACACAUACACAAAAACACAGACUUAGAAACACAGACACACAUAAACAUAGACAUAGACACACACACACAUAGACAAAGUCACAGACUUAGAAACACAGACACAUAAAUACACAUAAACAUAGACAUAGACACAGAUAUAGACACAGACACACACACACAUAGACUGUCACAGACUUAGAAACAUGGACACACAAAUACACAUAAACACAGACAUAGACACAGACACAAACACACAUAGAUGAAGUCACAGAUUUAGAAACACAGACACACAAAUACACAUAAACAAACAUAGACAUAGACACACACACAUAGACAAAGUCACAGACUUAGAAACACAGGCACACAAAUACAAAUACACAUAAACAUAGACACAGAUAGACACAGACGCACACACAUAGAUGAAGUCACAGACUUAGAAACACAGACACACAAAUACACAUAAACAUAGACAUAGACACAGACACACACGCACAUAGACAAAGUCACAAACUUAGAAACACAGACACACAAGUACACAUAAACAUAGACAUAGACACAGAUAUAGAUACAGACGCACACACAUAGAUGAAGUCACAGACUUAGAAACACAGACACACAAAUACAAAUACACAUAGACAUAGACACAGACACACACGCACAUAGACAAAGUCACAGACUUAGAAACACAGACACACAAGUACACAUAAACAUAGACAUAGACACAGAUAUAGACACAGACGCACACAUACAUAGACUAAGUCACAGACUUAGAAACACAGACACAAAAAUACACAUAAACAUAGACAUGACACACACUCAGACACAACUACUGAUAGACAUAAACAUAGACAUAGA
rnacentral:lncRNA from 1 species